rnacentral:rRNA from 1 species
GCCAGCAGCCAUAUCACCCUGCAACUCACAACUAGCAACCCGCUGAAGCUAAGCAGGUGUGAGCCUGGUCAGUACCAGGAUAAAAGACCUCCUGGGAAAAAGCUGGGUUGCUGCUGGAA